GACGAACGCUGGCGGCGUGCUUAACACAUGCAAGUCGAACGGAAAGGCCCUGCUUUUGUGGGGUGCUCGAGUGGCGAACGGGUGAGUAACACGUGAGUAACCUGCCCUUGACUUUGGGAUAACUUCAGGAAACUGGGGCUAAUACCGGAUAGGAGCUCCUGCUGCAUGGUGGGGGUUGGAAAGUUUCGGCGGUUGGGGAUGGACUCGCGGCUUAUCAGCUUGUUGGUGGGGUAGUGGCUUACCAAGGCUUUGACGGGUAGCCGGCCUGAGAGGGUGACCGGCCACAUUGGGACUGAGGUACGGCCCAGACGCCUACGGGAGGCAGCAGUGGGGAAUAUUGCACAAUGGGCGGACGCCUGAUGCAGCAACGCCGCGUGCGGGAUGACGGCCUUCGGGUUGUAAACCGCUUUCGCCUGUGACGAAGCGGGAGUGACGGUAAUGGGUAAAGAAGCACCGGCUAACUACGUG
rnacentral:rRNA from 1 species